CAUUUAAAAUUGCGCUGUAAAAAAUCCUGCACUGUACAAAUCACUGGAGGGUUGACAAUUUGUGUUUCAGAGCAAAAGUCCAGAAGAGUAUUCACUAUCCUUAAGGAUAUCAAUAAAAGUUUCCAGAAGAUGAAAGUUACCUAGAAGGCACAAGAAAGAAGAAAAUAGAAAAGAUGCAACAAUACACAAAAAAAUACUUACCUCAUAUUAGUACAGAAAGAUUAUUUAUAUAAGAAAAUCUUGCUCUUUGAGCUAAAACUUGCACACACUAAAAAUGGGGGUGGAGAGAAAGGGAGAGAAAAGACUACAGUUAAAGACAUUAA